rnacentral:rRNA from 1 species
CCUACGGGAGGCAGCAGUGAGGAAUAUUGGACAAUGGACGAUAGUCUGAACCAGCCAAGUAGCGUGAAUGAUGAAUGCCCUAUGGUUUGUAAACAUCUUUUAUAUGGGAGUAAAAUGUUCCACGUGUGAGCUUUUGUAUGUACCAUAUGAAUAAGGAUCGGCUCACUCCGUUCCAGCAGCCGCGGUAAUACGGAGGAUCCGAUCGUUAUCAGGAUUUAUUGUGUUUAAAGGGAGCGUAGGUGGAUUGUUAAGUCAGUUGUGAAAGUUUGCGGCUCAACCGUAAAAUUGCAGUUAAACCUGGCAGUCUUGAGUACAGUAGAGGUGGGUGGAAUUCGUGGUGUAGCGGUGAAAUGCUUAGAUAUCACGAAGAAUUCCGAUUGCGAAGGCAGCUCCCUGGACUGAAACUGACACUGAGGCGCGAAAGUGUGGGUAUCAAACAGGAUUAGAUACCCUUGUAGUC